CAAGACCUGCGCUUUUGGAGCGGCCGAUGCCUGAUUAGCUAGUUGGUGAGGUAAUGGCUCACCAAAGCUUCGAUCAGUAGCUGGUCUGAGAGGACGGCCAGCCACACUGGGACUGAGACACGGCCCAGACUCCUACGGGAGGCAGCAGUGGGGAAUUUUGGACAAUGGGCGCAAGCCUGAUCCAGCCAUGCCGCGUGAGUGAAGAAGGCCUUCGGGUUGUAAAGCUCUUUCAGUCGGGAAGAAAAGGUUGCGACUAAUAAUCGCAAUUCAUGACGGUACCGAAAGAAGAAGCACCGGCUAACUACGUGCCAGCAGCCGCGGUAAUACGUAGGGUGCGAGCGUUAAUCGGAAUUACUGGGCGUAAAGGGUGCGCAGGCGGUUUUGUAAGUCAGAUGUGAAAUCCCCGGGCUUAGCCUGGGAACU
rnacentral:rRNA from 1 species